rnacentral:SRP_RNA from 1 species
GCCCAGCACAGUGGCGCAUGCCUGUAGCCCCAGCUACUCAGGAGGCUGAGGUGGGAGGAUCGCCUGAGCCCAGGAGUUCUGAGCUGUAGUGCACUAUGCCAAUCGGGUGUCUGCACUAAGUUCAACAUCAAUAUGGUGACCUCCCAGGAGCGGGGGAACCACCAGAUUGCCUAAGGAGGGGUGAACUGGCCCGGGUGGGAAAUGGAGCAGGUCAAAAUUCCCGUGCUGAUCAGCGGUGGGAUCUCACCUGUGAAUAGCCGCUGCACUCCAGCCUGGGAAACAAAGCAAGACCUUGUCUCU